GGGGAUGCUGGGUUUCGACAGAAUUCCGAAGCUCGUUUUUGCAGGCCGAGAAUGUCGCCAAUCUCGCUAAACUGACGACAAAAUAUAAUUGCCAACAAAGAGAUGGCACUCGCCGCAUAAUUAGUCGGUGACGUCCUUCCCGGUUUUCCCUGGUGACUGGGAAUGGGCGACAUUCAGCCAGGGGGCUCCAGCCCCGACGCCCGUAAAGGCUGGCUGAGAGCUUCGGGCUAGCCUAGAGGCUUCCCGUCCGAUGGACAUCCUCUAGGGACACAAUUAAAUCGGACUAAGCCUGUAGAUGAAGCGAGAUGACGGAUUUUGGACGGGGCGUUCGACUCGCCCCCAUCUCCACCA
rnacentral:tmRNA from 1 species